rnacentral:rRNA from 4 species
GGUUAAGCGACUAAGCGUACACGGUGGAUGCCCUGGCAGUCAGAGGCGAUGAAGGGCGUGCUAAUCUGCGAUAAGCGCCGGUAAGGUGAUAUGAACCGUUAUAACCGGCGAUACCCGAAUGGGGAAACCCAGUGUGACUCGUCACACUAUCAUUAACUGAAUCCAUAGGUUAAUGAGGCGAACCGGGGGAACUGAAACAUCUAAGUACCCCGAGGAAAAGAAAUCAACCGAGAUUCCCCCAGUAGCGGCGAGCGAACGGGGAGGAGCCCAGAGCCUGAAUCAGCAUGUGUGUUAGUGGAAGCGUCUGGAAAGGCGCGCGAUACAGGGUGACAGCCCCGUACACAAAAGCGCAUGUGCUGUGAGCUCGAUGAGUAGGGCGGGACACGUGGUAUCCUGUCUGAAUAUGGGGGGACCAUCCUCCAAGGCUAAAUACUCCUGACUGACCGAUAGUGAACCAGUACCGUGAGGGAAAGGCGAAAAGAACCCCGGCGAGGGGAGUGAAAAAGAACCUGAAACCGUGUACGUACAAGCAGUGGGAGCACCCUUUGGGUGUGACUGCGUACCUUUUGUAUAAUGGGUCAGCGACUUAUAUUCUGUAGCAAGGUUAACCGAAUAGGGGAGCCGGAGGGAAACCGAGUCUUAACCGGGCGUUAAGUUGCAGGGUAUAGACCCGAAACCCGGUGAUCUAGCCAUGGGCAGGUUGAAGGUUGGGUAACACUAACUGGAGGACCGAACCGACUAAUGUUGAAAAAUUAGCGGAUGACCUGUGGCUGGGGGUGAAAGGCCAAUCAAACCGGGAGAUAGCUGGUUCUCCCCGAAAGCUAUUUAGGUAGCGCCUCGUGAAUUCAUCUCCGGGGGUAGAGCACUGUUUCGGCUAGGGGGCCAUCCCGGCUUACCAACCCGAUGCAAACUGCGAAUACCGGAGAAUGUUAUCACGGGAGACACACGGCGGGUGCUAACGUCCGUCGUGAAGAGGGAAACAACCCAGACCGCCAGCUAAGGUCCCAAAGUCAUGGUUAAGUGGGAAACGAUGUGGGAAGGCCCAGACAGCCAGGAUGUUGGCUUAGAAGCAGCCAUCAUUUAAAGAAAGCGUAAUAGCUCACUGGUCGAGUCGGCCUGCGCGGAAGAUGUAACGGGGCUAAACCAUGCACCGAAGCUGCGGCAGCGACACUGUGUGUUGUUGGGUAGGGGAGCGUUCUGUAAGCCUGUGAAGGUGUGUCGUGAGGCAUGCUGGAGGUAUCAGAAGUGCGAAUGCUGACAUAAGUAACGAUAAAGCGGGUGAAAAGCCCGCUCGCCGGAAGACCAAGGGUUCCUGUCCAACGUUAAUCGGGGCAGGGUGAGUCGACCCCUAAGGCGAGGCCGAAAGGCGUAGUCGAUGGGAAACGGGUUAAUAUUCCCGUACUUGGUGUUACUGCGAAGGGGGGACGGAGAAGGCUAUGUUGGCCGGGCGACGGUUGUCCCGGUUUAAGCGUGUAGGUGUGUGUUCCAGGUAAAUCCGGUUCACUUUAACACUGAGGCGUGACGACGAGGCACUACGGUGCUGAAGCAACAAAUGCCCUGCUUCCAGGAAAAGCCUCUAAGCAUCAGGUAACAUCAAAUCGUACCCCAAACCGACACAGGUGGUCAGGUAGAGAAUACCAAGGCGCUUGAGAGAACUCGGGUGAAGGAACUAGGCAAAAUGGUGCCGUAACUUCGGGAGAAGGCACGCUGACACGUAGGUGAAGUGAUUUACUCAUGGAGCUGAAGUCAGUCGAAGAUACCAGCUGGCUGCAACUGUUUAUUAAAAACACAGCACUGUGCAAACACGAAAGUGGACGUAUACGGUGUGACGCCUGCCCGGUGCCGGAAGGUUAAUUGAUGGGGUCAGCGCAAGCGAAGCUCCUGAUCGAAGCCCCGGUAAACGGCGGCCGUAACUAUAACGGUCCUAAGGUAGCGAAAUUCCUUGUCGGGUAAGUUCCGACCUGCACGAAUGGCGUAAUGAUGGCCAGGCUGUCUCCACCCGAGACUCAGUGAAAUUGAACUCGCUGUGAAGAUGCAGUGUACCCGCGGCAAGACGGAAAGACCCCGUGAACCUUUACUAUAGCUUGACACUGAACAUUGAGCCUUGAUGUGUAGGAUAGGUGGGAGGCUUUGAAGUGUGGACGCCAGUCUGCAUGGAGCCGACCUUGAAAUACCACCCUUUAAUGUUUGAUGUUCUAACGUGGACCCGUUACCCGGGUUGCGGACAGUGUCUGGUGGGUAGUUUGACUGGGGCGGUCUCCUCCUAAAGAGUAACGGAGGAGCACGAAGGUUGGCUAAUCCUGGUCGGACAUCAGGAGGUUAGUGCAAUGGCAUAAGCCAGCUUGACUGCGAGCGUGACGGCGCGAGCAGGUGCGAAAGCAGGUCAUAGUGAUCCGGUGGUUCUGAAUGGAAGGGCCAUCGCUCAACGGAUAAAAGGUACUCCGGGGAUAACAGGCUGAUACCGCCCAAGAGUUCAUAUCGACGGCGGUGUUUGGCACCUCGAUGUCGGCUCAUCACAUCCUGGGGCUGAAGUAGGUCCCAAGGGUAUGGCUGUUCGCCAUUUAAAGUGGUACGCGAGCUGGGUUUAGAACGUCGUGAGACAGUUCGGUCCCUAUCUGCCGUGGGCGCUGGAGAACUGAGGGGGGCUGCUCCUAGUACGAGAGGACCGGAGUGGACGCAUCACUGGUGUUCGGGUUGUCAUGCCAAUGGCACUGCCCGGUAGCUAAAUGCGGAAGAGAUAAGUGCUGAAAGCAUCUAAGCACGAAACUUGCCCCGAG